GACGAACGCUGGCGGCGUGCCUAAUACAUGCAAGUAGAACGCUGAAGAGAGGAGCUUGCUCUUCUUGGAUGAGUUGCGAACGGGUGAGUAACGCGUAGGUAACCUGCCUUGUAGCGGGGGAUAACUAUUGGAAACGAUAGCUAAUACCGCAUAACAAUGGAUGACACAUGUCAUUUAUUUGAAAGGUGCAAUUGCUCCACUACAAGAUGGACCUGCGUUGUAUUAGCUAGUAGGUGAGGUAAUGGCUCACCUAGGCGACGAUACAUAGCCGACCUGAGAGGGUGAUCGGCCACACUGGGACUGAGACACGGCCCAGACUCCUACGGGAGGCAGCAGUAGGGAAUCUUCGGCAAUGGGGGCAACCCUGACCGAGCAACGCCGCGUGAGUGAAGAAGGUUUUCGGACCGUAAAGCUCUGUUGUAAGUCAAGAACGGGUGUGAGAGUGGAAAGUUCACACUGUGACGGUAGCUUACCAGAAAGGGACGGCUAACUACGUG
rnacentral:rRNA from 1 species